rnacentral:rRNA from 1 species
CAAGGAAGGCAGCAGGCGCGCAAAUUACCCACUCCCGGCACGGGGAGGUAGUGACGAAAAAUAACGAUACGGGACUCAUCCGAGGCCCCGUAAUCGGAAUGAGUACACUUUAAAUCCUUUAACGAGGAUCAAUUGGAGGGCAAGUCUGGUGCCAGCAGCCGCGGUAAUUCCAGCUCCAAUAGCGUAUAUUAAAGUUGUUGCGGUUAAAAAGCUCGUAGUCGAAUCUGUGUCUUGCGCCGCCGGUUCAUCGCUCGCGGUGUCAACUGGCGUGUGGCAGGACGUCCUGCCGGUGGACUUAGCCGGUCGGCGUCUCGUGCGUCGUCGGCGGUCCAACUUCAACAAUCCCACCGCGGUGCUCUUCGCUGAGUGUCGAGGUGGGCCGGCACGUUUACUUUGAACAAAUUAGAGUGCUUAAAGCAGGCUGAAUUUCGCCUGAAUACUGUGUGCAUGGAAUAAUGGAAUAGGACCUCGGUUCUAUUUUGUUGGUUUUCGGAACCCCGAGGUAAUGAUUAAUAGGAACGGAUGGGGGCAUUCGUAUUGCGACGUUAGAGGUGAAAUUCUUGGAUCGUCGCAAGACGAACUUAAGCGAAAGCAUUUGCCAAAAACGUUUUCAUUGAUCAAGAACGAAAGUUAGAGGUUCGAAGGCGAUCAGAUACCGCCCUAGUUCUAACCAUAAACGAUGCCAGCUAGCGAUCCGCCGACGUUCCUCCGAUGACUCGGCGGGCAGCUUCCGGGAAACCAAAGCUUUUGGGUUCCGGGGGAAGU